GCGGCUGUGGUCCAGUUGGUUAGGAUUCUGCACUGUCACUGCGGAGAUCGCGGGUUCAAGUCCCGUCAGUCGCGCCA
rnacentral:tRNA from 1 species